AAACAAAUUACGUACUGGAUCGCGUCACAUGAAAUGCACCCGCUAUCCUAAAUAUAUUAUGUUUAACAUUUUAAAAUUUGAUUUGGAUCACAUAAAAUGAACACCUGAGUUUAGGAAUGUAUAAAAGCACGCCUAAAAAGAUUAACGCGUUAUUAUUUUUGGAAGGGCCGUAAAAUUCGCUAAAUGGCCUAUCCCGAAUUCUACAUAUUCUUAUUAUAGCCAUUUAUUGAGGGCCCCGCAAUUUUAUAUUUUUGUUUGGCGAGGGUUGUCUCGUUUCAUUUUAAAAAGGGAAAACCUACAAACAACAAUGAUUUUCUAUAUAUUUUAUUCGUCUCUAAAAGAAAAGGAAAUCCUAAUUAAUCAAAGGGUUGAAGAAUUACUUAAUCAAAUGAUGCAAGAGGGCAGGGAGUCUUAGCUGAAAAGCCAUGGUGGCUAUUUGGGCUUGGCAAUCGAGCACAGCAAGACAAACCCUCAUGUUCAACUUAUAGCUCACAUAAGCUAAAUCACGGACGUUGGAAGUUCGAUUUCUUUCAGUUAUAAAAAAAUGCAGUUGAUCACUAAUUAAGAUCCAACUUGCCAAGACAAUGUAUUAUUCAAAUUAGUUGGGUGUUUUCCUGAUUCCUUUAUCAAACUCCGGGUGACAAUCCAAUACAAAUCAAAUGUUCCAAAAGACCAAAAUAAUGUUGAUUCCUUACAAAUUCCAGUUGCUUGUAUUUUUACUCAUCUAAUUUACGAACAUGUAUAAUGUGAAGAUAAUAGUGCAACCGGUUUCUAGUCCGAUUUAUACUUAGUUUUGAAUGUCUAAACUGACAAACUCUCUAAGUAAACUACAACUCACAUGUUAAUACUCGUUUUAAUGUCUUUCGAACAGUUCUCAAGUUAACAAAUACACUGAUAGGGAUUUUACAACUAUAACUCACAGUCCACUGAAUACAAUUUACAAAAUCCUUGAAGCUAUUCAAAUCUCAAUGGCUAUACAAUUAUAGAGUUUGAUAUAUUACUACAAAUUGACAGUCCAACUGACUCAAUUACAGUCCAAUGAAUAUAAUAACAAUUCAAGGUUUGAAUAUCAUCAACGAACUGAUGCUCGAAUAGACCAUUCAGAAAUUGAAACCAAAUCAAAUUUCAUGCUUUGUUUGUCACAUAAAUUCAUUCUUUAGUUCAUAAUCCUCAAGGACAAAGGUGUGUACCUGGUAUUAGCAGCAAAAACAGUUGAUCACAGGUAGUCCAGGAAGAGCUCAGCGCUCAAAAAUGAUUUAAAACCAAACACAAAAUAACAAAUCAACCCAUACAGCACCCCAAUGAACACAAAUGAAACCAUCCCUCAACAAAAUCAGCAAAUAACCAACAAUCCAUCUCAAACUAAACAGAUUCCAUGCAAACUAGCUCAAAACUGCUUUCCAAUUGCAAUAUCGACAUAACAAAGAAUUUUGAAUUGCUUUUGGAUUCAAAGUAAGCUGGUAGCAAUGCAACAAUACUUUUAUGUUUUUCUAUAACGUGUCUAUGUAUUUUUUUUGGAUAUUUUCUACUGAAUUUUUCUGUUUUUUUUUGUAUUUUCUUUUAGAACUAAGAACCAGAUAAGACUUGAAUAUGAAAUUUGAAUUUCAUAUCUGAAACUGGAAGAGCAUUUUNNNNNNNNNNNNNNNNNNNNNNNNNNNNNNNNNNNNNNNNNNNNNNNGGGGGGGUGAGGGGAUUUUGGAGGUCUAAACUUCCUCAACAAGGCAUUAUUCUUGCCUUUUAUAGGUCAAAGGAGGGGCAACCUUCACAUUUGUAUUUUGCCUAUUGGUCCCUCCAUUUUUACUCAGUUAGCCUCUUAUUUUUUAACUUGUGACAUAAGUUAGUACCUCUAUCUUUUGAAUUUCUCUUAAAACUCUCACCUAAAAGCUUCUAAGAUGGUAUACUUCAACCACUUGCAAGAUUCCCCCAUGUGAGCUCCCUAUUCUGCCCUUACCCUUUCCGCUGAAUUACCAAGUUCAGUCAUCUAUCCCAUAACCCCUUUUAACCUAGAUAAACUGACCCAAACCCUUAGUUAAAAAUCAACUAUAGCCAAACAGAUCUUAAACUACUACUAAUCUAACUAACAUGAUCAUCUAGUAAAUCUAAUAAACAUAGAACGAUUAUCAAAAUAAGACUUCUAACUACAACAAUAUAAUCACUAACGAAACCACAAAAAUAACAAAAAAUAAAUUGAAAUAAGAAUUUAACAUACAAAGGCAUCAAUUAAUCAGGACAAACAUAUUAAUCAAAAGAAAAAAAUCUACUGAAUUAAGAUGAAUAACUAAGCUUAAAAACUUAAAAUCAAACAUUGAAACAAGAACAAAAAAUAAGCAUGAAGAAGAAAAGACUCACUGGCCAAUUUGGAAUCAAUAUUCGACUGACUUUAGUUGAGUUCGAGGGCCACUGACAUUGAAUUCACCAUGCGGGAAGCACAGAGACUUGGGUGUGUUAAUUUGAAGCCGAUUGAAUGAAUUGGAGUUUUUGACUGCGUUUGGAUUUGAAAUUCGAAGGAUUAGGACAUGUUUUGAGGCAGGCUAUUUACAUAUUGGUGAUGAGGAGACUGAGGCGGUGCAAUGGUGUAAUUUUGGAGGCCAUUGGGUGGUGGCGCCGCCAUGGGCGGCGGACAUGACAAAACCUUUUUGACUAUUCGAGAGGUUUCAAUGGGAUCCGAGAUGAGAUAGUGGUAGAUUCAUGACGGGGACAGUGAGGCGGUAUAAGGGUGUGAAUUUGAGAGCUACCGCAGAUGGUGGCGUUUUCGCCAGCGACAGAGGCAUAGGCAUUACAGAGGGGUACGAGGAAGAGAGACUAGUCUCUAGGGUUAAUGAAAAAUUUUAGACAGUUUUAUUAAAUAACUGAGAACGAAUCCUAGCCAUCGGAUUAAAUUAACGAACGACCUAGAUUAAAUGAUGAUGAAACGACAUCGUUUUUAAUGAAGGGCAUGCCAG
rnacentral:lncRNA from 1 species